ensembl:lncRNA
CUCUGCUCUGUACUUCUACCCACGGCGCGCUCCCGCCUCCUUGCUGCCAUGGCGACAGCCCGAGUCCCCGGCAGCCGCUGAUUGGUCCCACUGGGAGAGUGGAAGGCGCCGAUUGGCUAGGGAGGAGACCAGGCUGCGCCGGAGGGCUAGGAGGCGGGCGGUGUGGAGCUCUAAGGCGUAGGAGCCUCGGGGAGGGUGAGCCAAGAGGGACGUGGCGCUCUGCGGCGCGGACUAGGAAGCCGCGCCCCUUCCUUCUCGGGCUUUCAUGGAGAAUCCUGUGGAGCAGGAUUUGGGUGGGUGAGGUGCUUACCCGGGACCAGGACCAAAAAACAGGUGUCUCCUCGCCCUCGGCCGCCGGUGCGCGCUGGCAGCUCCCAGACUGGUCAGGCGGUCAGGCGAUUUUCGCCCGCAGGCCUUCUUUGGGUCUAAUACCCCGGCCUCCUCCUUGGCGGGAAUCUUACCCGUAUUUGUAACCUCACCUACCCCGGUUUUGUUAUGCCGUGGGCCACUGGGGCUUGAUUGCUUUUUGUUUCACCUUCUCUCACACCCGCCUGCGGUAUCUUUCUUUUCUCCACACCCUCCUUCUUAUUGAACUGAGACAUCUGCUCCACAUCCAUCAUUUUAAAGAUGGGGAAACUGACCCUCAAAGAUACUCGUGGCUCGAGGAUUAGAGAAACUUUUGGAGCCUCCAGGCUGGUUUCGAUUGAGUCUGCUAAGUAAUGGCAUCUUUCUCUGAAGGGUCCCACAGGGAUAUAACCUGGCCAAGUUCCUCACUGCGUUUAGAAUGGAAGAGAGGGAGGCAGUAAUACUUAUAAGAGAAGGAGCCUGCAUAAAGAAAUGAAGGUUUAAGGAAACAGAGCUGAGUAUUUUAUGCUAGGUUUGAUGGAGCAAGGACCGUCAUGGAGGGAUGUGAUAGAUUAAGGAGUAUGAGGUAAGUAAAUUGGGAAAAACUUAGCAAGGCCUGUUUGUUAGGAUGCUUCUUGGCGUCCCUUUGUCUUCAGGUAAGGAUGCUCCUUCCCCCUGAAUAUAAGGAAGGUAACUCUCACAUGAGUGUUUUAUGACAUUUCAGGGGGAAAGGAUGAGGGGAGGGUCAGAGUGACCUUCCUACUUCUGUCAUUUUCUCAAAACUCCUUCAGUUUAAAGUAUUCAGGAUGCUAAGGUGCCAUAUUUUGCUGUAGUGUGUCCAGCAUCCCAUCGCCUUCCAUGGGUUCGACUUGCCAGUACUUCUUUAGCAUAAGAAGUGGGUGUAGCCAAAAGAACAAAUGUCC